AUGCUUGUCUCAAAGAUUAAGCCAUGCAUGUCUAAGUAUAAACACCUUUGUACUGUGAAACUGCGAAUGGCUCAUUAAAUCAGUUAUAGUUUAUUUGAUGGUGCUUACUACAUGGAUAACCGUGGUAAUUCUAGAGCUAAUACAUGCGCAAAAGACCCGACUGUUUGGGAGGGUUGUAUUUAUUAGAUAAAAAACCAAUCGGCUUCGGCUGUUUCCGGUGAAUCAUAAUAACUGUGCGAAUCGCAUGGCCUUGUGCCGGCGAUGAAUCAUUCAAAUUUCUGCCCUAUCAACUUUCGAUGGUAAGGUAUUGGCUUACCAUGGUUGCAACGGGUAACGGGGAAUG
rnacentral:rRNA from 1 species